CUAAACGACUCUCGGCAACGGAUAUCUCGGCUCUCGCAUCGAUGAAGAACGUAGCGAAAUGCGAUACUUGGUGUGAAUUGCAGAAUCCCGUGAACCAUCGAGUCUUUGAACGCAAGUUGCGCCCGAAGCCUUCUGGCCGAGGGCACGCCUGCCUGGGCGUCACGCA
rnacentral:rRNA from 1 species